GGCGCGGUAGUUCAAUGGAUAGAAUAGAAGUUUCCUAAACUUUAGAUCCGGGUUCGAUUCCCGGCCGGGCUACAA
rnacentral:tRNA from 2 species